ensembl:lncRNA
AAUUUAAAUACUUCUCAAGAUUAAUUUUAUUAACAUAGUACAAUGUAAAUGUUUUCAAAAGCUGCAUUCUGUAAUCAAAACAAGGACACACAAAACCCAGAAAACAGAGCACCUAGUUAACCACAGACCACAGACACAGAGAUUGGAACCAUUAUUAUUCAGAUAAAAAAAAUUUGACCUAGAAGGGAUACAAAUCAAGAUCACAUACCUUCUGUUGAAUUUGUCAGUUUAUGCAAUCUAAAAUAAAAUAUGCUGUUGAGACACAAAAUGUUUCUCCUCUUCUUUGAAUCACAUAACUGUCCAACAAGUUAUGACAACAUUAUUAACUAAUGAUACAUUGAAAAUUAGCUGAGCAGUGUAUAGUAACCUCUUGUACAUUUGACCAUAUCUGUGAGAUCAUAAGAAAAUGUCACAUGAACCCAAUGUUUACCUCUGCAGUGGUCAUCUUGGAGAGUCCAGUAUAUCAGCGUUACAAGUUGGUCAGACUUGCCAUGGAUAGCCGUGUCUCACUGCCUUCAACAGAGGAAAUGUAAUUAAAUGGAGUAUCCUGUGCCACCAAUAACAGUAAUUAAUCAUUCACAUUUACUCACAUUAUAUCCUGGACCUUGUACAGUCUGAAGAACAGAAUGAAUUUAGCUAGUCCCAUAGGAGCUGAGAUCUAUAAGAAACUAAUUUUUUCCAAAAGCCACAUCAUUAAUAUUUGGCAGCUUAAAAUGCAGGUUGGCAGGGGGGCAGUUACAGAGGGGUUUCCAUUAGGGGGCUGAAAUGAAGACUGGGACAUUUCAGGCCCUGUCCCGUUCCACCUUCCAGCCUCUGCACUGGCUGCUAACCCUCAGGUGAAGUACAGCAGGUGUUAAAACACACUCAGCCAUAGAGCUACUCAUUGCUAAUGAGUCCUGUCUCCUUAAACUCUCUCUGAUGCUUCCAUGCAUAUAGGGCUUUAUUUUCUGCGUCCUAGUUAGAUCACUGCCAUGAUUGCAAAUGCAGAUGAAAAAAUCCUUUAAGACUGACCACUAUAAUGAAACUUCACCUGGAGGAGCGCUGAAUGAAAAGACUAAGGCAUGUCCUUAAUUGCUUCUUCAAGUAGUGUUUUAACAUACUGUGAUAUGUAUUACUUUGUAUACCAGUUAGUUUGAAUCUAGCAAAAUUGAGCAAAAUAUAUAUAUUUUGUGUGGUUGUUCUUAAUCAAAAUAUUGGUUUAAAAUAAGUAAUUCGUUGGACACAUUAAAGUAAAUUGAAUAUUUGCCCUGUCUGAGAAUUGUGGGCAUAUUCAAAGAAAAUCUUAUUGUAAACAUAGUGAAUACAGUGACAUUUGAGAAGAGCAUUUUACUAGUAAAGGCUGGUUAUGUUUGCAAUUUUCUUCAGAGAAACUGUGAUUCCACCUCUUUAUAAUGCCUUUCUAGUAAUUAAACACGUUUUCUAUGUUAAGGGUCUGAAAUGUAGGCUAUAGGCCUUUUGCAGAACACGCAUGUUCAUCUUCAGUUUGCAGAUACUAUCGCCGGGAAAUAAUGACAGUUAUCAGUCGCACCCACCAAGUGCCCAUAAAAAUCGGUCCUCUGUUCUGGAAGAUGAUAAUUAUUGGUUGUACUACUAUUAUCAUUUUCGCUGGUGAUAGAGGAACCCUUGAAGUAUUUUUCGAAUGUAAUUCCAGAUAUAAAUUACUUGAAAUUGGGCAAUUUUAAAAGAGAGAAGUGCAGUUUUCCUUAUGAGCGUAAUAUAUUAUAGAAUUCUUCAAAACCAAGAUAUCCACUGUCAGAUGCACAUCGCAGACUUUAUUGCUAACUAUGAUGUCAGCUUUCGCAUUUUAAAAACACAUUCGUGGAGAUUUUGAGCUGCCGGGGAACAGUGGUAUUUCUGCUUUCCGUUCAUCCACAGCAGACGGACUCAAUAACAUUGAAAAGUAAAAUGAAGAUCUGUAUAUUUGCUGCUUCUUCGUCACCAGCAAUAAGUGGUGCACAAUGGAAUUUUUCUGAUCUCCGAUAUUGGAGAUGUAUUUUCUUUUUUUCCAUCACCUGAUUUUCGAUAUUAAGUAAGUGCAUAUAAUGCCUAAUCGUGUUAACAAUUAAUCUAAAUGUUGAUUGAAAUGUGUAGAUCACGUAUUUUAGGUUACAGUCAAGUGAUCAACCUGCAUGUCGUGUGAUAUGGACCAGCUGUUUUUUUAAUGUUUUUUUUUCUUCGAAAACUGAACCUAUAAUAAAGGGAAACAGCUAUACUCUUUAGUCAGUAGUCAGUUCAGUUCAAUUAAACGUUCUCGGAAAAUCAUUGUUCAAUGUCUAUAGGCUACUGUCUUAAUAGGAAACUGACCGCACCCCCCUAAACCUCGCAUGGAAUUAUAUGAAUUGAUGGAGGCUAUGUUUAAUAUCAGAUUGUAUGACGAUUUAACUGGCCUUCGUUGUUGUGUUAUAGAGCACAUCAACAUGUUUUGUCGAUUUACUCAUUAACUUGAAAUGAAUGACUAAACAAUAUCUAGGCCGAUGUAUUUAUCAACGGCUCUAGUAUGAUGGCGUUUUCUGGAACAAGCUGUACAGAUGAGGUGAUAUAUAUAUGCCCGGAUGACUUUGGCUACACUAUAGAUCUGCAUGGUCGCUCGGUCCAUACAGCUACAUUAUUAUAUCAGCUAUUCACUUUUCAUUAAUCACAACUAAGGGAUUGCAUGAAUUGUGAAAGCUAGGCAUUAAGGUCAGCCAAAAGACCGCACAAUCUGAAAAAAGCGAACAUAUUGAAGUUCUACUUCUUUUGAAAAGAAAAAAAGAUUAAGUAGUAGGCCAAAAUGAGAAAUGUUUGUCUUUUCAUCGAUGUAUAUAUACAGGUGAAAUCUGUAUAUAGGUAUAUAUAUUUCUGUAUAUGUAUAUACAUGUGUAAGUAGUCUUACCCGUGUAAUAACAAAAUUGCAAAUCCCCUAAUGUUUUGUUUAAUACUAUGCUUCAUAAUGUAUAUACAUAGAGUAUUGUUUUGUAAAGUACUGAAGCAGCAGCAUCAUGGUUACAAUGAUAUAUCCCUUACCGAGAACAGUCAACAGAAUUGUAUAAAUAAGGCCAAACGGUUUGUUAUAUUAUAAGCAACUUCGAUGAAUUUAGUUUUUGGGCAUGGAAUCACUGCUCAUGUGGCGAAUAGAGAAAUAAAAAGCUAUUUCGAUAUAUGUUGCAGAGACAGACCAAGAGGUUGAACAAAUAUCCAGUUGGAAAACAUUUUUUAUUUCUACAACAUUAUAUUUACGCUUGUAACAUAAGCCAGUUAAUGCUUAAUCGUAUAAAUUCAACCAGGUAUACUUUGCUCCGAUAAUUGAGAUCACGAGCCAUUGCAAGUGUUAAAUAUAUGGCUAAUUAUGCGUAUGAAAAUUAAACAUCAGUGUUAUGCUAAUUCAGCUUGCUUCAGCUGCGGCUCAGCGCACUUGAGACGGGCAUUUAAUCAAAUAGACCUGUGAGUUAUACGUCUACGCAUGUGAACACCAAAAGACACUAUAAAUAAAGAGCAACGAUAAUCUAUCAGUUUGUUUUGAGAAAUUGAAAAAUAAAAUAAAAAUAAAUUCUGUUAGGCUAUAGCCUAUACAUUUAUGUCUCAACAGUUAUCAGAUAAUUUUUUUCUUGUAAU